AUGCGUCAACUUCGACCCCGUGUUCCGACUGCCCGCAACCCUCGGACUCUGAAAACUGGCCUACGAGUUGUCACGGCUUCAGCUUUAAAUCUCCAGCCCCACCGCCACUGGAAGCUUUCGGAAGCUUCGCUUCUCGAGUCGUCUUUGUCGGCCAGUGAGCAAAUGUCUGGAGCAGCAAGCCCAGGAAAUGGACGACACCCCGAUCCCGUUCGAUCUCGCGUCCACAAAGCCGAGUUGGGAGGGCAAGAGUAUUCUUUGGCUGACUUGCGUCCAUAAAACAUAUUUUGGCACGUGGAAAAGAUUUCACUGAGCUAUUACAACUACACCACCCCAAAAAAGCAAAGCUCGGUUUCCAUUGAAAAUGUCAUCGGUGUGGAAAAAGCAUCAUCAAUCAAAUUAGCUAUCGUCUCACCGAAAAAAAAAAGAACCCAAAAAACACAAAUUUCCCAUGUCGAUGGGCCCCCCCCCGCCGCUCAGACAACAGCCACGUCUGGAUUUUGACUGUGUCUCUGAUUUAAGAUCAACCCUUUCCUCCGCUCCAGGGAACUCGCUCCUCUUUUCCCUCUGGGGAUGUGGUCCGCUAGCCACACGCGGGCAACCUGUAGCCUCCUCUCCACGCCAGCCACCGCCCCGCAAGUUUCCUGCCGCUGACGUGUUGUCAACGCGGGAGACGGAGAGGGCAAAAGCCAUGAUUUUUACGGAGAGGCCCGGAGUGGCGACGUGCCUACGAAGGCCGGAAAAAAGGCAAAUGGAAGCGACACCUCGUCGAACGGGAUCUGCAGGAACCCCAAACUCGGCUGUAAAAUGCCGAUGAUUUAAUUUACCCGCUCUCCCUCUUAAACUGCGAGUCCCGCGGGGGACGGGGACCGUGUCCGAUCCGCUUAGAUCGUACCUCCCCCCGUGCUCUCCCCCUUGAAUAAACACCAUAACCAUCGUUCUUCUA